UGAGGAAUAUUGGUCAAUGGACGAGAGUCUGAACCAGCCAAGUAGCGUGCAGGAUGACGGCCCUAUGGGUUGUAAACUGCUUUUGUUUGGGAAUAAUCGACAUUACGUGUAAUGUUUUGCAUGUACCAUUCGAAUAAGGACCGGCUAAUUCCGUGCCAGCAGCCGCGGUAAUACGGAAGGUCCAGGCGUUAUCCGGAUUUAUUGGGUUUAAAGGGAGUGUAGGCGGUUGGUUAAGCGUGUUGUGAAAUGUAGAUGCUCAACAUCUGACUUGCAGCGCGAACUGGAUUAAUUGAGUACACACAACGUAGGCGGAAUUCAUGGUGUAGCGGUGAAAUGCUUAGAUAUCAUGAAGAGCUCCGAUUGCGAAGGCAGCUUACGGGAGUGUUACUGACGCUUAAGCUCGAAGGUGCGGGUAUCGAACAGG
rnacentral:rRNA from 1 species